rnacentral:rRNA from 1 species
CGCGCAGGUGGCACAGUAAGUCCGCUGUGAAAUCUCCCGGCCCAACUGGGAGGGGCCAGUGGAUACUGCUGAGCCUGAGAGCAGCAGAGGUCGGUGGAAUUCCUGGUGUAGUGGUGAAAUGCGUAGAGAUCAGGAGGAACACCGGUGGCGAAGGCGGCCGACUGGGCUGCGACUGACGCUGAGGCGCGAAAGCUCGGGGAGCGAACGGGAUUAGAUACCCCGGUAGUCCGAGCCGUAAACGAUGGGUACUAGGUGUUCGUGGUAUCGACCCCACGGGUGCCGGAGCUAACGCGAUAAGUACCCCGCCUGGGGAGUACGGCCGCAAGGUUAAA